rnacentral:tRNA from 1 species
GCCUGGGUGGCUCAGUCGGUUGAGCGCCUGACUUCGGCUCAGGGCGUGAUCCCGAGGUUCGUGAGUUCGAGCCCCGCGUCGGACU